GAUGAACGCUGGCGGCGUGCCUAAUACAUGCAAGUCGAGCGAACGGACGAGAAGCUUGCUUCUCUGAUGUUAGCGGCGGACGGGUGAGUAACACGUGGAUAACCUACCUAUAAGACUGGGAUAACUUCGGGAAACCGGAGCUAAUACCGGAUAAUAUUUUGAACCGCAUGGUUUAAAAGUGAAAGACGGUCUUGCUGUCACUUAUAGAUGGAUCCGCGCUGCAUUAGCUAGUUGGUAAGGUAACGGCUUACCAAGGCAACGAUGCAUAGCCGACCUGAGAGGGUGAUCGGCCACACUGGAACUGAGACACGGUCCAGACUCCUACGGGAGGCAGCAGUAGGGAAUCUUCCGCAAUGGGCGAAAGCCUGACGGAGCAACGCCGCGUGAGUGAUGAAGGUCUUCGGAUCGUAAAACUCUGUUAUUAGGGAAGAACAUAUGUGUAAGUAACUGUGCACAUCUUGACGGUACCUAAUCAGAAAGCCACGGCUAACUACGU
rnacentral:rRNA from 1 species